CUCUUCCCGGCAUGGGUUUCUGCCCAGCUCACCCGCUGUCAGCUGGGGUCCUGCUCUGGUGGGAGGAAGAGGCUCAGACGCUUCCCUGCCCUCUCGCCUCAACCACCUCGAGGCAGCGGCUCCCAGGAUGUGCACUUUGACGACUAAAGCUGAGCCGGCGCCGCCACGACCUUGGGCGGGUGGUCGGCCUCUGCCCUGAGCAGGAAGUAGAAAGUCUCAGCAGACCCUUCCUGAGGGCCGAGCAACAGUGUAGUGGCGUAUUCCACAUAGCAAACAGUUUUCUGAAGCUCAGAGGGACACCUUGUAUUGCUGGAUGAUAAAAACAGGAGCAAAGUGAUGAAGUGCUGACAAGGCAACAAUAGAACAUGAGAGAUUCACUGCUGUGUAGGAAGAGAUCUUCGGUGACCAUGUAGCCUGAAGCUCUCAUUUUGUCAUCGAGGGACACCAAAACUCAGAACAGAUAGAGUCUUGCUCUGUGACCCAGGCUUGUGUGCAGCGGUACGAUAUUGGCUCACUGCGACCUCCACCUCCCAGGUUCAAGCAAUUCUCCUGCCUCAGCCUCCCAAGUAGC
rnacentral:lncRNA from 10 species